GGAGAGAUGGCAGAGUGGUCGAAUGCGCCCGCUUGCUAAGCGGGUGGGGGAUCACAAGUCCCCCCCCGGGUUCGAAUCCCGGUCUCUCCG
rnacentral:tRNA from 1 species